rnacentral:rRNA from 1 species
GUUGCCAUCGGUGAGGCCGGGCACUCUGGAUGGACUGACCGGCGACAAGCCGGAGGAAGGUGGGGACGACGUCAAGUCAUCAUGGCCCUUAUGUCCAGGGCGACACACGUGCUACAAUGGCCGGCACAGCGGGAAGCGAAGGGGCGACUCUGAGCGGAUCCCUUAAAGCCGGUCCCAGUUCGGAUUGCAGUCUGCAACUCGACUGCAUGAAGUUGGAAUCGCUAGUAAUCGUGGAUCAGCAAGCCGCGGUGAAUACGUUCCCGGGCCUU